AUCACAUCUACAGUGUUUCUCAGACACUGGACCCACGUGUAUCAUUUGCAUGAGAUAUCUUAAUAUAAGUAUUUCACAGCAUAUUUCCUCCUCACAGCUGUACUUCUGAAGUAGCACCCACACCUUCUGUUCUUGAAAAAUUACACUUUCUCCCCAAGAGCUGAAUUCUGCAAAUAGGAAAAUUCUACCCACUCCCUCCCUCUCCUCAGUUUUCAGGCAGAAUCCAAAGCCUGACUAUACUGAUAAAAAUCCAUUCAUUGACUCUUGGGGCUUCUAACUGUACAACAUCUUAUCCAGUCCCUGGUCAAUAUGUUACUGUGCUCCUCACACAGGGGACCUGCCAGAUUAGAUAUUCAGGAUUCAUGGCACUCAAAAAUAACCUGAUGGGUAAAUCAGGAGGCAGACCCCAUAUUCAUUCCAGUUAAAAUCCUGCUCAAUUUUGCAUACACUUCUACUCACAGAAAUUAUGCCGUAGUGAACUCUACGACAAAAAUCUUAAAUCUUUCCUUCAAGAGUUAAUGUGCUGGAAGAACUGGUGUGAAGACAGGAGCAAGCAGAAGCAGAGUCUGUCCCUGUUAUCUAAAAUCAGGGAAGGAAUUGAGCUGAAGAGAAAACCAGGAAAGUUCAUAACUUUUAUUACUAGGAUCAACUCUUUUUCCUUCUCACCACAUUUAAAAGAAACCAGAUUUUUAUGAUGUGGUUGAGAUGAACCUCCAAGACCGUUUCAAGCCUGCUGAGCACCCAGCAAUGGACAAAGCCUCAGUGGAGUACACAGAGCUCUGCUAAAUAUUUCUUCUCUUUCCUGCAGAAUGGCCUGCUUGGUAUGAAAUAUAACAGGCUGAAGGCCACGAGACCACUUUGCCACUUUAGAAUAUAAUUAGUUUAUCAUCACUCAGCAAAGCCAGCUGCUUCCAUACAAACCACUGCCACUCCCCCAAACCCCCACACACCCCAAUUUGCCCAGGAGGACCAAACUGUGCCAACAUUUCUGAAAUCAUUGUCAGGCACUAGAAGCUCACACCCUGUGUGUCAUCCAAGGCCUGUCUCUCCAUCAGUAUAAUAAAUACCUCAUGGGAAGUGUUCUGCUGCUCA
rnacentral:lncRNA from 1 species